GAAAAUUUAUUUUUAUUUAUAAAAGUUGGGGUCUUACAAUGCAUAUAAUACUACAAUCCUAAUCAAGUUCUAUGGCCAUAACAUAAUAAAUCAGAGAGAUCUGGGCUUCAGAAAACCUUGUCAGAAGCUGUUCUUCAUUUCUGGAUUUUCCAGAAAUGAAGAACAGUCCGAGUUGGCAACUUAUGAUCUUCAUAACUUGCACCACAGGAACUGUUUUUGUGAUUUCAAGGAGACGGUAUUUACACAACAUGUAAGAGUACUGUGACGGCCCCGAAUCACCGCGGAUCCGGUUCGAUCAUUCUAACACUUACUAUUUGCGGAAGAUAUAAACAUAAAUUGUUUAUACAUUAAACUUACAUACUUUUCUCCAAGGUCGAGUAACCUUAACUUAAUACACAUUUCAUAAAUAUCUAACACAUAACUUUAUUAUCAAACUACACUAUUACAUUUCUAGCUGCACACGUAAACUAAAGCUGGAACUUUCUUUAAUCUUUUCCUGUAUCCGACGCGUUCGUCUUAAUCUGCAAUGUUUAUCAUGAUAUAGCAAGGGUGAGCAUGAAAGUUGUCCAACAAGUUUAAAUUCAAUAAUAUAACGAUAUAUCAUGAUUGAAAAAGUCUGAAUAAUAAACUGGCUAUAAUUCAACAAUAUAAUUGUGAACUAGCAGGAACAAACUUUUGACUGAACAAGUAUUAUACAUGAACAAAUAUAUUUGAACCAACUGGUAAUGAAGGUGAUCAACCUUUCAUACCUGACUUAUACAUGCAAUAUGUACAGAGUACAAUUCAUGGCAACCAGCAAUGAUUAACCAUAAACAUAUCUGAAUGAAACAACUCUUAAUAGAGUUAAGUAAAAACAAACUUGCCUGAACCGUUGAUUACUGCUACGCAAUUUAUAUCGCCUUAUCCGAAGACCUAAUAUUAGUAAUAUAGAUCUCCAAUAUUAGAAUAAUAUCAUCAUAAUAUAAUACUAUUAUAUAUAUAGACAUACAUAGAAUAACCUAAACACAUAACACAUAACCCUAUCAGUCUAUAACACAAAUAAGACUCAGCAUCAAGUCAAACUAUUUCAGUCUGACUUGAAUUAAACAAAAUUCUAACGUCCCGACUGUCUAGUCGAACUUUUAUCGAGUCUAAGUUCAAUUAAACUCUGCCUUAACACUUAACAAUUAACUUAAAUAAUCAUAUAAGUAAUCAAAAUAAUUUUUUUAAGUCUCAAAAUAAUUUUCAAAUAAUUAUUAUCAUUUAAAAUGAUUUUCCAAUCAUUAAUAACGUAUUUAAAUGAAUUAAAUACCAC
rnacentral:lncRNA from 1 species